CCUAUAUUGCCUUUAAAUAAUAUUGGUUUAAAAGGGAAAAUGUCCCAAUGGAUUAAAAAUUACCUCACUAUUUUGCAAACACGGGUCAAAUUGGUGGUGGAGAGACUGCAGUGGAAAUACUUUUCUGGAAGAGUUCUGUUGUGAUAAUGGCAGUGUAUCAAUUAUUUAGGAAACAGAAAAAAUAGGUUUAGUCCUGUACAGUACAGAGAUGGAGUAUACAGUUCAUAAAGUAAAAAGUAAUGGCUCGUUCAGGCACUGGAAAAGUGAUCGACCUUAUAUUUAUGACAGUGCUAGGCCCAGGAGUAAAUCAACGAGCACAAUCCUUUAGAUAUGUGCUUACUUACAUGCUAAAGUUUGUAUUUGAUCUAUAUGGUCAUUGAAGCAAUCAUUUCUUACCCCUUUUUGGCCUUUCUCUCAAGUAUAAAACAGAAGGAUUACAAUGAAAGGACAAUUUAUUUCUGCUAUAUGAAGGCAACUCUGUUAGUGCUUAAUUGUGCUUGAGCCCAUGUGUAGUUUCUGUUCAAACUUUAGCUGGAGGUCAAAAAUUUUAAACUAUCUGCUCCUUAUUUCACAGGAAUUUACAAUAGAAGGGCUGAAGGGAACACUGAGGCCAAAGGACUUUGUCAAGCUGAGCAAUUCUACCAAAAGUGUUAUCAUGAACCUGCUAAAUUUACAUGUGUUUUGUUUACAUUGCAAAAGAGGCAUAAUAUACCAACUAGAUUGAACAAACGAAGGCAAUAUUCUGAAUAACAUCAUUCUCACAGUUAAACGUCAGUUUCAAAGCAGGGCAUUUGAAGACAUAAAAGCAAAAGGUAAUGACAUUAUCCUUGAAUCUUCAUGACUUUCCUAAAGGUGAAUGUAUUAAAUAAGAACCGCUGAAGUGUUUUUGGCACCGUUUUAUGCAUCCCAUCUGUUAGUCAUAAUACUACAUCAGCUAAUUAAUGCAUGUUACCUUGUGUGUAAAACAACACGCACUCUACUGAUUGUGGAGUCAAGACUAAAGUGGUUCUCACU
rnacentral:lncRNA from 1 species